rnacentral:rRNA from 1 species
GACGAACGCUGGCGGCGUGCUUAACACAUGCAAGUCGAACGGAAAGGCCCUGCGUUUGUGCGGUGCUCGAUUGGCGAACGGGUGCGUAACACGUGAGUAACCUGCCCUUGACUUUGGGGUAACUUCAGGAAACUGGGGCUAAUACCGUAUAGGAGCUCCUGCUGCAUGGUGGGGGUUGGAAAGUUUCGGCUGGCGGAGAUGGACUCGCGGCUUAUCGGCUUGCUGGUGGGGUAGUGGCUUACCAAGGCUUUGACGGGUAGCCAGCCUGGGAGGGUGACCGGGCACCAUGGGACUGAGGGACGGACCAGACUCCUACGGGAGGCAACAGUGGGAAAUAUUACACAGUGAGAGGAAGUCUGAUGCAGAAGCGCCGGGUGCGGGAUGACCGCCUUCGGGGUGUGAAACGCUUUCGCCUGUGACGAAGCGGGAGUGACGGUAAUGAAUAAAGAAGCACCGGCUAACUACGUG